GAGUUUGAUCCUGGCUCAGGACGAACGCUGGCGGCGUGCUUAACACAUGCAAGUCGAACGAUGAAGGGGAGCUUGCUCCUUGGAUUAGUGGCGAACGGGUGAGUAACACGUGAGUAACCUGCCCUUGACUCUGGGAUAAGCGUUGGAAACGACGUCUAAUACCGGAUAUGACCUGUGACGGCAUCGUCUGCAGGUGGAAAGAAUUUUGGUCAAGGAUGGACUCGCGGCCUAUCAGGUAGUUGGUGAGGUAACGGCUCACCAAGCCGACGACGGGUAGCCGGCCUGAGAGGGUGACCGGCCACACUGGGACUGAGACACGGCCCAGACUCCUACGGGAGGCAGCAGUGGGGAAUAUUGCACAAUGGGCGAAAGCCUGAUGCAGCAACGCCGCGUGAGGGACGACGGCCUUCGGUUGUAACCGUCUUUAGUUGGUAGAAGGAGC
rnacentral:rRNA from 1 species